AUUCUCCGCCUCUUCUAGGGUAGGCAGGUGUUCCCGAGUCCCUUAGGGGGGGUCCCCGCGGCGGCCUGAGAUGCUCGGCGCCAGGUUGUCGCGCCCUUGAGCUGGCUGAAGUAGACAUUGACUCUGGAGAGUCUGCGUUUUUCCUGGUCCCAGAGCCGUGGUCCCGAUACUGCGCUUCCCGCUCCUCCAGUCCCAGCUCCCAGGCUCCGUCUUCUCCCGCUUGGCGCUGGAGAAACACCGGAAGAGAGAGUCGCAGAGUGACUGCUGUGGCCCUGCGACCUGACUGCCACCUUCCAGGACUCUAGCCCUGGCUCCUUCUAACCUUCCCGCCCCUCAGUGCCCCAGAGAGGCUGGUUUGCGGACAAUUAUUCAUCAGCCGGAAGAAAAGGAGGGUCUCGCUCUGUCG
rnacentral:lncRNA from 10 species